rnacentral:tRNA from 1 species
GAGACAAGAAAUUCAGGAAUAAGCUUCUAACUUAAUUCCCUAGUGGUGCAAAUCCAUUAAUGUCUCU